ensembl:lncRNA
GCCGGGCUCUGCUCCUCCAUGUCUGGGGCCCUAACGCGCAGCAGGAGGUGGAGACCACGCAAAAGCCAACAGCUGGGAUCGUUGGAAGGUUCUUUCACUCUCGUGUCUGUGGUUGCUGCCAGGGAUUGGCCGGGCUGCCAGGACACCACCUCCACCCCUCCGCCCACCCCUGCCCCUCCAUGAGGCCUGGGCGUCCUCACAAUGUAGCCACCAGUUCCAAGACCAAGCCUUCUGAUAGAGCCAGCCGUAUCUUCUGUUGUGACCGAGGCUCAUAGUCACAUAGUGUCACAUCUACCACCCAGAUUCAGGGGAGGGACACAGCCGACACCCUGGGAGAAGGGUAAAGAAUUCGCCAACGUGUUUGGGAUCUCUCCACCUGGGGACCUCGUCCCUGACUGACGAAAUGCCUUCUGCCCUUUCAGUCGGCGCCUCCCCGCCGUCAGAAGCAGCGGAUAUUCUGCUUCAAGUCUGGCUGUGUGUGGGGCCAGGGGUCUCGCUUCUGUGGGCAUGGAUCCUUGACUGCAUUUAAGUUUUAACAACUAUGUGACCCGAGCAGAUGAGGCCCCACGUCUUCACGGAGGUGGCGUUUCUCUGCAGCAAAACCAGCAGGACAUCCAACAGCCACGCCAUGUGACCCACGUGGCCGCCACGGCCCUGUGUCAGUGGCCAGAGUCACGGGUGCCGUCGCUGAGGCUCCUGGAGCGGCACAGGCAGUCACGAUAGGACCGGAGCUCCCCGCGUGGAUGACCCAGGUCGUUUUGCAGAAGGAACAAGUGGAGCAUCUCCAGGCCUCUGCCCUUGUCCCCCGACACUGAGGUCCCCGAGGAGUGGACGCCUGCAACCCUCCCUCACACCCAGCAGUCCCCGUUCUGCAUCCGUGGCCGUCCGACAGCCGCCUCCUGGGCCAAGGACGUCAUUAACCCAGCGUCACGCCUGAGUCCACCAUGCACACAUGCAACACGCAUGCACACCCUCGUGCACAUGUGUGUGCACAUGCACAGACAUACGCCCAAUAAGGCACACCUGUAGACACAAGCAAGUGUGUGUGUGAACACGCGGACACACACAGUCCCUCACAGUGCUUGUUGUUUGGGGUUCACGGCCUCCAGUGGGACCUCUGCGUGCCAUUUCUAUCUUGUCCACCCUGGAGGGUGUCGUCCACUGCUGUGGACGGUGGCGCCCCUGCCCCAGGACAUGCUGGCACUGAGACCUGCCCCGACUCCAGCUCCUGGCGGCACAGCUGUACUGGGGCCUCAUUUGGAGACAGGCUCUUCGCAGAGUAAUUGAAGUGGGAAUCUCCAUGUGAAAUUGUCCUGGGUUAGGGUGGGCCCGAAGUCCAGAGGCUGGUAUCCUGAAAAGAGGAGAGGAAGGGAGUGAUCGGAGCACGUGGAAGGCAGGCUGUGAGGACAGAGCAGAGAGCGGGUUGCAGUGUCCACAGCCCGGAGCUGGACAGGCAGGAACAGGCUCUCCUCGGAGCCUCGGAGAGGACUCAGCCCUGGACACCCGCCUCUCGGACCUCCGGCCUCCAGACUCAGAGAGGAUCAAUUUAUGUUCUAAGCCGCCCCAUUUAUGGGAAUUCGUUGCAGCUGCCUCAGGAGACGCAACCAAAGAUUUUAAAACAAGAUCCAAAUGUGAACAGUAGAAACAAUUAGCAUCAUGAGUAAACAAAGGGGCCCCUUACCUGUGUGUGCCAUAUUGGGGUCCCCGCCGUCACAGGGUCAGACGAGCAGCGUCUGUGGGAGACGGGGGGUCUGCUCGCUGUUGCCGGGCUUCACAAAUCCCUCCUCUGGCCAAUUGUUGCCCCAAUGUUGUCGGAGCUUCCAAAAUUUUAAAGAAAACUGGAAACUACAAAUUCCAUGUGAAAUUUCUCCAUAUUUAAAUGCUGGCAAGAAGCAGGCAUGUAUUAAAAUGCUGCGGGUUGACGCUGUGUCCAAGACCCCUGGAACAGCGUUUCCGAGCCCCCUGGGGGCUCACACCAGCUCUUCCCUGCAGAGCGGCCACCUGGAAACAGCUCCCACAGACCACGUGGCCCCCGCCGGAGCCGGCGCGCUGUAGCUGAGGAGCCGAGGGUCAGUUUCCAGGCCUCUUGGGAGCUGUGGGCAUCACGCUGGAGGCUUGACACGGGUCGUGGUGGGAGUGUCCACACCACAGGAAUUGGCAAAGGCUGCAGAUCCGCCUGUCCCUCCACCCCCACCCCACAGCCCAGAGCCCCUUGUUAACCACUGGCUCCCAGCACACCAGGAACCUGGGGCCCAGACGCCCGCCCGCCAGGGCCCCUGUGGCCCUUUCUUCCCCACGAGAGCUGCCUUUUUCCGUGCAAAGGACCGCAGGAAGGAGGACUCCUGUCAGUUUGCAACAGUCGCCUGUCGCCUUGAAUCCACGAACCCAGGACUCCUAGCUCACUGGGGCAGCCCAGCUCUCUCCUCCUCCUGGGUGUGGUGGGACCCCUCCCUGGCCAAUCGCGUCACAGUGGCCGGGCCCCACUGUGGCCAGGACGGUGCGAGAGAGGCUCUCCCGGGCUUACUAAGGGGCCGAGAUGCAAACCACAGCUCCUGCAGCAGUUCUGGGAGGGAGCCCGCCCGAGAGGAAGUCAGCGCAAGAAGGCAGAAUCGAGAGAGGAGGGAGGGAGAGGAAGAGAGACACUCGCACACACAUGGCACGUGCGCAGUACAUACACACGUGUGUGCAGCCAGUCCCCGUUGUUCAAGGAGUCCGUACUUGCAAACGCGUCUGCCCACUAGAAUCUGUUUCCAACCCCAAAAUCAAUUCUCAUGGCUUUUUGAUAGUCAUUUGCAGACACAGGCAGAGCAGCAAAAACCGAGUGGCCUGACACGCCCAUUCCCAACUGAGAAGGACCAGGCAACACGCUGCCUUCUGGGUCACUCUCCACUGCCAACAUGUCUUUCUGUCUAUUUAAUGCCAUGUUUUUCACAGAUCUGUGCGUUUCAUUGGUCAUUUCACUGUUUAACCCAAGCGCAGAGCUGAAGUGCCGUGCAGUGUUCUGAGCACAAGAAGGCUGCCACGUGCCGGCAGAGAGGAGGCGCAUGUUAGAUGGUCCUUGUUCGGGAUGAAUAACAACGCUGUUGGCUGAGAGGUCAGUGUUACUGAAUCAACAAUAUAGAUUAAAUCAGGUGUCUUUAAACAGAAACACACAUCAGACAAAGUGAUGUUCUGAUCAGUUGAUGAAACAUUGUGACCUAAGGCUCACAGGAACCCGAUCCCGCUUUUCUCCAGGAGCAACAGUUCAGUGUCCACCACUUCGGUGUUUGCAGCGACUUUACAGAACGUAACUAUGAAGAAUGAUGAUAGGCCAUACGCACACGUGUGUGUGUGUGUGUGUGUGUGUGUGUACAGAGAGAGAGAGAGAGAGAGGGAGAGAGGUGGAUUUCAACGACACAAUUUAAGCCCCUGGAUCCAGCCAUGCCUGAAGCUCUGGAUCCAUCUCGUGACCCC